UACGGAGGGUGCAAGCGUUAUCCGGAUUCACUGGGUUUAAAGGGUGCGUAGGCGGGUAAGUAAGUCCGUGGUGAAAUCUCUGAGCUUAACUCAGAAACUGCCCGUGGAUACUAUUUGCCUUGAAUAUUGUGGAGGUGAGCGGAAUAUGUCAUGUAGCGGUGAAAUGCUUAGAUAUGAACAUAGAACACCAAUUGCGAGGCAGCUCACUACACAAAUCAUUGACGCUGAGGCACAGAAAGCGUGG
rnacentral:rRNA from 1 species